rnacentral:rRNA from 1 species
AUUGAACGCUGGCGGCAUGCCUUACACAUGCAAGUCGAACGGUAGCACGGGUGCUUGCACCUGGUGGCGAGUGGCGAACGGGUGAGUAAAGCAUCGGAACGUACCGUGAAGUGGGGGAUAACGUAGCGAAAGUUACGCUAAUACCGCAUAUUCUGUGAGCAGGAAAGAGGGGGAUCGCAAGACCUCUUGCUUUACGAGCGGCCGAUGUCGGAUUAGCUAGUUGGUGAGGUAAAGGCUCACCAAGGCGACGAUCCGUAGCGGGGCUGAGAGGAUGAUCCGCCACACUGGGACUGAGACACGGCCCAGACUCCUACGGGAGGCAGCAGUGGGGAAUUUUGGACAAUGGGCGCAAGCCUGAUCCAGCCAUGCCGCGUGAGUGAAGAAGGCCUUCGGGUUGUAAAGCUCUUUCGGCGGGGAAGAAAUGGCGCUUUCUAAUACAGAGCGUUGAUGACGGUACCCGCAUAAGAAGCACCGGCUAACUACGUGCCAGCCGCCGCAGUAAGAC